GAGUUUGAUUCUGGCUCAGGACGAACGCUGGCGGCGUGCCUAAUACAUGCAAGUCGAACGAACGGAAGUUAGAACUUGUUCUAAUGGAAGUGAGUGGCGAACGGGUGAGUAACACGUGGGUAACCUACCUUUAAGCGGGGGAUAACAGUGGGAAACGACUGCUAAUACCGCAUAGGACAUAGCGUCACAUGACGCAGUGAGGAAAGACGGUUUCGGCUGUCACUUAGAGAUGGACCCGCGGUGCAUUAGCUAGUUGGUAAGGUAACGGCUUACCAAGGCGAUGAUGCAUAGCCGACCUGAGAGGGUGAUCGGCCACAUUGGGACUGAGACACGGCCCAAACUCCUACGGGAGGCAGCAGUAGGGAAUCUUCCGCAAUGGACGAAAGUCUGACGGAGCAACGCCGCGUGAGUGAAGAAGGUCUUCGGAUCGUAAAGCUCUGUUGUUAGAGAAGAAGAGUUAUGGGAGUAACUGCCCAUAAUG
rnacentral:rRNA from 1 species